AUUGAACGCUGGCGGAAUGCUUUACACACGCAAGUCGAACGGCAGCACGGGGCAACCUGGUGGCGAGUGGCGAACGGGUGAGUAAUACAUCGGAACGUGCCCAGUCGUGGGGGAUAACGUAGUGAAAAUUACGCUAAUACCGCAUACGAUCUACGGAUGAAAGCGGGGGAUCGCAAGACCUCGCGCGAUUGGAGCGGCCGAUAUCAGAUUAGGUAGUUGGUAAGGUAAAGGCUCACCAAGCCGACGAUCUGUAGCUGGUCUGAGAGGACGACCAGCCACACUGGGACUGAGACACGGCCCAGACUCCUACGGGAGGCAGCAGUGGGGAAUUUUGGACAAUGGACGCAAGUCGGAUCCAGCCAUUCCGCGUGCAGGACGAAGGCCUUCGGGUUGUAAACUGCUUUUGUACAGAACGAAAAGGUCUCUAUUAAUACUGGGGGCUCAUGACGGUACCGGAAGAAUAAGGACCGGCUAACUACGUGCCAGCCGCCGCAGUAAGAC
rnacentral:rRNA from 1 species